CCCUUAGAUGUCCUGGGCCGCACGCGCGCUACACUGAUGCAUUCAACGAGUUUUACCUUGGCCGAGAGGCCUGGGCAAUCUUUUAAACCUGCAUCGUGAUAGGGAUAGAUUAUUGCAAUUAUUAAUCUUGAACGGGGAAUUCCUAGUAAACGCAGAUCAUCAAUCUGCAUUGAUUACGUCCCUGCCCUUUGUACACACCGCCCGUCGCACCUACCGAUUGAAUGGUCCGGUGAAGCCUCGGGAUUGUGGCCAGUUCACUUUAUUGGGAGUUGGCUGCGAGAACUUGUCUAAACCUUAUCAUUUAGAGGAAGGUGAAGUCGUAACA
rnacentral:rRNA from 1 species